rnacentral:lncRNA from 1 species
UACACACACACACACAUAUGUGUGUGUGUGUGUGUGUGUGUGUGUGUGUGUGUGUGUGUAUGUACACACACGCGCAAAGAAAAGAUUGAUUAAGUGCGUGAUUACGUGUUUGACAAGUUUUGAUUAGGGAAUUUUGUGUUGUGAGCCUCACAAUCCCUCAAUUAUAAUUUGAUGUGUGCGCAGUCACACACUUGAUCAUGUAUCUCUCUCUCUCUCUCUCUCUCUCUCUCUAUAUAUAUAUAUAUAUAUAUGUAUAUGUAUGUGUGUAUGUAUAAUUAAAUGGCUUCACUCUUUCCCAAAAGAAAUAAUAAUUGAUAAAUAUUCGCUUUCAGAAUCAUGUUGAAUUCUAAUCCUAGAUCAACUAAAUAGGAGUGGGGGGUGUAUUUAUCGUUUAACUACCCAUGGACCAAUAUUUGAUUCAUGGCAAUGUCAAUUGGGCUUUGCUUGGUUAUUAUAUAGAGCCAAUAAAGUCGUGCGUGAAAAGUGCCUUCUGCAUUAGUAGCUCUUUAUUCUAAGUACAUAUUUGGUAUGAUUUUAUUUAAUAAUAAUAAGUGUUUAUUUAAUUUCAUAAAUUCUUUUAAAAAUUUUCAAUGUUGUUUAGUCGAAUUUUGAGAUUGAAUAAGCUAUUUUUUCUCUACUAGCAAAAGGGAGUAGAGGUUGAAAAUCUUUUUUAAAAUGUUAAAUUAUGUAAAACAUCAUCUACUCAUUUCGUAAUCUUAUUUCAUUCAUUUCAUAAUAUCUUAUUAAGUUAUUUUAUAAUUUUUAAUAAAAACUCUUAUUAACAACUAAACAAUUAUUUUUAAAAAAUCCAUUUAUAAAAACUCUACUUAAAUCAGCAAUAUUUGAAAACUAAAUCAAUCGAAGUCUCUCUCUCUCUCUCUCUCUCUCUCUCUACACACACACACACACACACACACAUACUAUUAAAUUGUGUGGUUUAAUAGAGUCAGUGCAAACACGCUAUUAAACCACACAAUUUAACAACAUGCUCACGUGAAAAAAAAAGAAGAAGAGAGAAUGCCUACACUAAAGCAGGACUAUACAUAUAUAUGGAGAGAGAGUAAUUAUCUAAUAAGAUAGCUUCAUUUUAAUGGUUAAAUUAAAAGAUAUGAAAAAUAAACAUACUUUAAUGUAGUAUAUUUUUUUCUUUUAAUGUAAUAGAGUGUGUGUUUUUCUUAUAUUUUAAAGUUUGCUUAACACCAAGCAUUGCAUUAUAUAAAAGCAUUGUUAUGUAUUAAACUUAUGCAUACUUAUGUUUAGCUAUCUACUACCCCUGCAUUGCUUCACAUAUUACAUAAAAUUAUGCGGUGAAACUCAAAUUAACCAAACCUAUGACGAGGGUUCGAUUUAUGCGGGUACACAUUAAAAAUAACCAAAAAAGUAAUUGUUUUAAAAAGUUUCCAUUUUCAUUUAGCCUAGAACCUUUUUUUUUUUUCCCCUUUUUUCUCACCACCUUACCUUGAAGGCUACUGCAUCUUGAUUUCGUGACGAAUCCGUCGCUGGAGCUUCGUCGCAUUGCCGCAUCUGCUUUGCCGCUGCUGUACGAAUUCAAGGACUGCCUCACCUUGCGCUACAGAAGCUUCUACAUCACCGUCAUAUUAAUUUUUUUUUCAAAGAAAUAAUUUUAUUUAAUCACCAAAAAUUAAUGCAAUGUAAUGCGAUACACUGUAGCACCAAACUUAGGAUAAUUAAAAUUAAAACAGUACAAUAUAACACCAAAUGUAUAAAAUAUUAAUGUAAUUCAAUAUUAAUAUAAUAUAACAUAAUACAAUACACAUGCAUUAAAAGAGAAAGGAAUUGGUAUCAUUUGACGUUUGGAAAAAUAGACAUAAAAUUUCCUAAUAUUUUAAAGAAGACAUACAACCCCUAAUCCUGUUAAUUUUUAGUUUAUUUUAACUGAAAAAAUAGUAAUAUAUUUAUGCAAAAAAAUACAAUUGUAUUUAUAAAAAAUGACAUCUAAAAUUUUCAAAAUCGUCUUCCUCUCUAAAACGGCGCCGACAGAACUUAAAAAAUUAACAAAAUUUGAGGUUAUAAGCCUUUUUCAAAACAUUAAAAAGUCUUAUGUUCGUUUUCCUGGCGGGCCAAUAACCCUUUUCCCUCCAUUAAAUAAUAUAAUGUAAUGUAACAAUACUGUAUACUAUUUAAACUCUGGGCAUAUUUUGGCAGCCCUCGUUGUAUGGUAUUAGCCCACCUCAUAAUAUUAGAUUAUUACAAUACAAUAUUAGAUAGCUACUACUCAUUGUAUUGUGUUGCAGUCAAAUUAUUUUGUAACGCGGUAAAACCCAGAUAAGCAAACCGGUGUGAGAUUCGGGUUUAUGCCGGUUUGAAAUUCUUGAAACAAAACAAUAUUUCUUCAUGGCUCUCCUUCACAAAUCAUCUUCACUCCCGUUCUCUCUCACAGGCGUUGAUCGCGACAGCAACUCCACCACAACGCCAUCUGCCUCUACGCGAUCUGCUUGAACACACCAGCUCCACACGAUCUGCCUCCACACAGACACUGUCGCAAGACGCCACCGCCAUUGUUGUGCCUCAGCUCCACACCGCCACUGUCGCGCGACCUCAACUCCACCACCAUGCGAUCUGCGUCAGAUCCACACCGCCGCGGGUCAUCUGGGUCUUUUUCCUGUUAAGGGUCUCUCUGAUCACAUCUUUAAUUACAUAUGUUAAAAACAUUAAAAGUUUUUUCGAUCAUAUUCUGAGAUUGACGGAUCUUCUGGGUAAAUUUGUGGUUGCAGAAGAUUGUAUUAAAGUUGGGUUUUGCAUGAUGAUAAGGUCAAGCAGAAAAAGAGAAAAAAUAAGAUGAACGAAGAAGAAAAAGAACUGGAGAAGACGAAGGAAGGAGGAGAGAGUGGAAGCAGAUGAUGACACGUAAACAUUAUUCAAAGAAGAAGAAUUUUUUUUAAAAAAAAAAAUGUGGAGAGAGAGAAAAAUGAAAAACGUAAAUAAAUAAAAUAAAUAUUUUAAAAAUAAAUAAAAAGUUAAUAAAUAUUAUUUUUUAAAUAUAUAAUUUAAAUUAAUCACAACGAAUCUUUUAUUUAAAAUAAAGCAGCUGAGAUGCAAUUAUUAAUUCUUUCCGAAUUGUUAUUGUCAAAUCGAAAGCGAGCAAUGAUUCAUGCGAAGAAAAGAGAAGCC